CAGUGUAUGAUCAAUUAAAGGAACACAAGCAGCGGAUAAGAAUGAGAUCUUGUUUUCGGAGUUCAAUAUCAAUUACAAUAAUGAAUCCCCACUGCACAAAAAAGGCAUGACUUUAAUAUGGGAAAAGGUGAAUGAAACCACAACUAAACUGACCAAGCGGCCAGAUAAAGGAGAGACAGAAAUUAAUGUAACACGGACAAGAAAGAAGGUCACAAGUCAUUCCUGUGAUAUCAUUGGAGAUCAGUUCUGGGAAGAACAUCCAGACAUUCUGGAAAGUGAACAGUGUUGAUCACAUGGUUAAAAGACUGUACCAGACCAAAU